UACGGGGGGAGCAAGCGUUGUUCGGAUUUACUGGGCGUAAAGGGCGCGUAGGCGGCCACCGCAAGUCGACUGUGAAAUCUCCGGGCUUAACCCGGAAAGGUCAGCAGAUACUGCGGGGCUAGAGUGCAGAAGGGGCAACUGGAAUUCUCGGUGUAGCGGUGAAAUGCGUAGAUAUCGAGAGGAACACCUGCGGCGAAGGCGGGUUGCUGGGCUGACACUGACGCUGAGGCGCGAAAGCGUGGGGAGCAAACGGG
rnacentral:rRNA from 1 species